AAGAUUGGAACAAGUGAUAACAGGGAAGUGGAGAAGAAAUGAGAGGAGCAUGGUGUUAAAACAGGGUAUGGUAAGAAGGAAUAAGUGAUGAGGUGUGAAUUCAGAUUUAAAUCUUGAAUUUCAGAUAGCUAAGUUUAUACUCAUGACCUUCUGGCCAGGGUCGGGUCAGAAUGAUAGUAGAGUGACAAAAACGUUUGGAGGUUUUGAAGACUGAGAAGCUGUCAUUUGAAGUGGAGAAUUAUAUUUAAAACAAGCAGGAAUUGCCAUACUGUCACUUUGAAAAUCAACACUGAUUUGCACAGCACAAGUUUAAGUUACAGUUUUGAAAGUAAGCACCAGUAAAACAAAAAUAGGAAGAAUCUUAGAAUCAGAGUGAGAAUGUGAGACAGAGUGGUAGUGUCAGUGAGAGGCAGACAUAGAAAGAGGUCAAGGCUUCUGUUGUUUUCUCUUCCAGUACAGGACUAACAAAAGGCGCUCCAAGGCCUUCAGCUGUGCAGCCCUGACUCCCACUCUCUCUCUCUUAUCAAUAGGAUCAAAGGUGGCCAAUUCAGCUAUGCCAAAAACACCCCCUCUAGACACAGGGAUGGCACCAGUACUGCCACUUGAGCCUUGCUACUCAGACUGGUCCAGAAGGAAUAACUCCAUCUGGGGUGUCGACAAUUUUUCCAUUGGGACAACUCCAAUAUAUUUCACAGGGGCACUGCAUUGGAAGUUGCAUGGAUUGUGAGUAACCUGUAUCUGUGGGAUUUUGGAUUACCUGCGUGUUAUGGACUUGCUCUGCACCAUUCUGUGUUCGCCCUGUGUUGCAGUCACCUGCAGAUUUGGAGUCUAACACCCUGUACUUCUUACCAGUAUACACUGAUCGGACCAUGCUGGCUGACCUGGAUUACAACCACCAUGUCCACAGACCAGUCAGGAGAAAAGAUGACAUUUCACAAGUGACAUUUGGAUGUCAUUAUUGGAGACAUAAGAUAGACAUAAAUAUAGUUGCUUGAUUGUUCAUGCUGCAAGUGUAAAGAAAAGGCAUUUAUCAUUUUCAAUGUUUUAUUUAAAAAAUAAUUAAAAUAUUAUCUAGAACAGGAAAAAAUAUCCUUUGUAUUUUCUCUACCCUCCUGGGAAUAAAACAAUGUACAGGUAUUCAUCCACACAAUGGAUUAGCACUGUGUCAGUUGGUGACAUUAUCAUUAUCUUACACCCUGCUAGGAUUAAACCUCUGUAUUGUUCUAGUGGAUCAGGAUAACAGUUGUAUAUCUUGGCUUGCACCUCGUCCUCCCCUGCCUCUUCUUCCUCGGACCCUGGCUCCCCCCCCCCCCCCCCCCCACCUCUGCUUGCUUCGACCCCGGUUCUGUCCCGGUCUGUGCUUGGCUCUGGAGUGCAGUCCUCAUCAGAGACAAUAUUGCUGUCACCGUGGAAGCUCUAACAUGCAAAACAACGUACAUAUUAUGAGCCUAACACAAAAUUUACAUUUGUGUAGUGUAACUGAUGGUAACAGAAAAAUGUGUAUCAGCCUGUUUUUAGCUUUGCCCAAUGUUACCGCAGGUGUUACCACAGCUACCUGUUAGCUAACUUUACUAACAGUUAGCUAACUUUAUGUUAGCUAAUUGUUAGUUACUGAAUCAAAAUAAGUCUUUUUAAACCCAUCCGAUAUUGACGUGGUAGCUAGAUAGUGAGUACUAACAGCCGUGUUGAGUACCUAACUUAAUACUGAAUUAGCUGGUAUAUCCUGAAUGUAAUCAACACAUGGAGCUUCUGCGUUUACUUGCUUUAUUGUCUGAACACAGGCUAUUGCCAUCCCACAACCACGUCUUCCCGCUAUCUCCCCCCAUUACUUCCUGUUUCACUAGACACAUGGCAUCUCUAAACCAAUUCAUGACAUCCUGUCUUUUCUUGGAAAUAAACUUAUCCACUUAAACAAACACUGUACCGUAUCGUACACAAGUGGUUAUUACCUUUUUGUUUUCCUUUCUAUAACACCUAUUAUCUUUGGCUUAGCAACCACCUUACCACUUCUCUCGUCAACCAUAUAUAACAUAAUACACAUCACUUCAACACAAAAUCAUGAAGUCUGUCAGGUGCCCUUUUAACCCUCUGAGGUCUGGCUAUUGUUCUGAUGUUUCCAUAUCCUGGGGUUGUAUCUGAAUGUUUGUGUCUGUAAUAAGUACACUUUCCUCCGGUCCUGGUGUUUUCUCCUGUGUACUGUGCAUUUCAUUUGGCUGGUUAGUCUCAUCUCUUUUCACAUGUGUGGUGUUUCUCUAUAACGUGCUCCCAGAGAUUCGACCACAACUUGAUUUCCUGUCUUUACGACAACUUUAUAUGGUGAUGCUUUGAAUCAUAUGGUGAACUUGUCCACUUUGUCCUGCUGUAUGAGUACCGCGUCUCCAAUGUCCACCUUUGAGUAAUGAGCUCCCCUCUGUUCAUCAGCAUAUAAUUUUGCCUUUCCUUUCACAGAUAUCUGGCAACUUUCCCCUCAUUUUUCGAUUCAAGAGCAGCUCAGCAGGGCUUUUUCUUGUGGUGGCAUGUUCAGUGCUCCUCUACAUAGUCACAUACUUUCUUAGUUCAAGUUUCCAGUUCAGUCCUCCUGCUUGGGCAAUCUUUAUUCUUUUCAUCUGCCAUGAAUUUUGGCGCUCUACUUCUCUAUUUCCUUGAGCCCAUUUUGGUGUCAUCCUCACAUGUCUGACUGUCCAUUAUUUUCACAGUAUUCCCUGAACAAGUCAGAUUUGAACUGCGGUCCAUUGUCUGAUUUGCAGGUGAUUGGUAGUCCAUGUCUGCUGAAGAUUGACUCAAGACUGUCAAUGACAUUUUCUGUGGUUGUGCUUUAUCCAUGCCAGGCCACCAAACCUUGGUUCUGAGGUGUUGUUUGGUUCCCACUAUUCCAAAUGUCCUUCAUGAGCUAGCACAAGCGCUCGUGCUUGUAGAUUUUGUGGCAGCACUAUGUGAUUUCCUCGUAGGACUAUGUAUCCCACUAUACACAGUUAAUUCGCAAUUGGUGCGAAUGAUUUACAGUUCUCAAAGUGUCCAUCUGUGAUAGCCCUGCCCUACCUCCACUAGUACCGGGUCAGUAGCAGAGGUCUCCUCCACCUCUCAGGUAGUUAAUGCUUUGGGUGUAGCACUUAUGGCCACGAACCUCACAUACUCUUCUAAUUCAUGUUUGUGUACCUCCUUUUUUUCUGUAUUUCCUAGCAGCCGUGACAGCUGGUCUGCUAUGUUCUGUUUACCAGGUAUGUGCACUACUCUGAAGUCAUAUGGUUGUCAAUGCGUGCACAUGGUUUGGAUCGUUGACUGUAUAUAACUUCCAAUGGUUUAUGAUCUGUGACUAGAUCAAACUUCCUGCCAUACAGAUAUGGAUGUAGCCUCUCACAAGCCCACACCAGAGCUAAGGCUUCACGCUCUGUCUGAGAGUACCUCCGCUCAGGCUGCAGCAAACAUAGCACACAGGUACCAUCUCUCCCCUCUGGUCCUGCACCAGUACUGCUCCUACACCUACAGGACUUGCAUCUGCAGUUACCUUUGUUGGUGCUUCUUUGUCAAAGUAGGCUAGGGUACCAGCUCUGGCUAGCUCAUCCUUUAAAGCUUAAAAUGUUUUUUUCCAUUCUGGUCCAAAGUUGAACAGUGUGUCCUUUCUGGUCAAAUGUCGUAGCGGCUCUGACAGCAUUGCAAACUGUGAUAUGAACCUACUACUGGGUACAAACAGCUUGUUGGCAACUUAAUGUUAAAUUACCCAAUAUUUAAAAUUAUUUGUUCACAGAACAAACUAAAUUAUGCUAAUGCUUGAAGCUAACCAUUAUGCUAGGUGACAGAUUAAGACAACUGCUAGCAAACUUACCCCAAGCUUUAGCAGGAAAAAAGGCUGGACCAUCUUUCUUUUUCUGCCUUUGUUCCACUUUAACUUUUAUCCAUCCAUCUUCAUCCUCCAGUCUAGAGCACUCUGUGAUCAUUUGCUGGUCUUCAAUCAAUUUUUUUGGCAGCCGCGAACGGUUGACAUCAAAGAUGCUGACAGUCAGAUGAGAUGCACGCGAACGCAAACGGAUUGCACAGCCUACUAUUGUGAGAGGUGCCCGACUGUAUCGAAAGCAUUUUGCGAUUCAGCAAGCCGGAGAUUAUUAGCUUGCUUUUGUACUCUUUGAGCUAGCUACCUCUCGGUCGAGUUUGAUGUUGAUAGCAGUUGUGUAACGUUACAACCGUGUAGGCCUACAACACGCGAAGUAAUGGCAAAACGUCUAGGACCUUAAGAUACUUGCGCGGCACAGAAGCACUUCCAAGGAGAACAGAUGGAAUGCGAAGGUAAGUAACUUUGAACCACUUUUAUUUCUGUUAUUUGUAAUUCUCAAAGCCAGUUACACAGUUGUAACUUAGUGCUUGUCUAUCAGGAUAACUUUGCUUAUAUAUAAAUUCACAUAAUGAAGAAUGACAGACAUUGCAAAAUAAAUUAUGCCAGAAUAGCAGCCUUGCGCCAACAUUCAGCAGAGAUACUAGCAAAAUAAUUAUGAUUGCACAAAAAAAGGGAACUGGACUUGUUAUUUAUACACUAAUCUGCUUUGUCUGUGUUGUACAGUAUGUACCAAAAGUGUUAUUGUGAGAACUGUUUUGGCAGGAUAUGAAAGUAAAUGGACAAAUACAAAUGCAGUAUUCUGUAUUACUAACCCAGGACAGCACAAAGAAACUAGUAAGGAUAUUUCGGCACCAUUAGGACUCAUGUCAUAUCAUGCAUGGGUAAUUAAGCUCUACAAAAGUUGAACACACAGGUACACACAGGUAGCUACUCUUUCUUUGGGAUUUGCAGCUCUGUAGGAUAUGAUGAAAUUAUUAUCAAUUUUGUUAAAAUCCACGUCAAGCAUUUCUAGAAAAAUUACAUUUUCUAGAAUAAAAGACAAUAUGCUGGAUUGAUAGUCCUGAUAGUUGUGCUGCUCGAAUUUUUACAGCUUUUUAAAUAAAUAAAACAGUAAGCGUGUGUGUGCGUGAUAAAAACAAUUAAAAUAAAACAUUAAAAUAAAUAGAUAAUACCGUAAACGUGUGUGUGUGUGUGUGUGUGUGUGUGUAU